UGCAACAGAUUAGUUACAGUCAGGAGGCACCGAACGACCUACAGGGAAUCCCCAACACCAAUUAGACUUUUGUAUUCCCUUGAUUAAAUGCCUGACCUUGAAUCGGGACCUGCCUCAUUUAAUGACCAGUGCCUUAAAGAUCCUCAG